AUACGGAGGGUGCAAGCGUUGUUCGGAAUUAUUGGGCGUAAAGCGCGUGUAGGCGGCCUUCUAAGUGAGUUGUGAAAGCGACUGGCUCAACCGGUCGAGGCCGACCCAGACUGGGAAGCUAGAGGGCGGUAGAGGGGUGUGGAAUUCCGGGUGUAGUGGUGAAAUGCGUAGAGAUCCGGAGGAACACCAGAGGCGAAGGCGACACUCUAGGCCGCACCUGACGCUGAGACGCGACAGCACGGGGAGC
rnacentral:rRNA from 1 species